UUAGAGUAGCAGAUUACUAUCGUACCGAGUACGUUAGUUCCACAACAGUCAUAAUUAUAGUAAUUCACUGUUAUCUCUGUUUACAUUAUGAAAAGUACGCUACAUAAAACCUGCUACACACAUAGUAACAAUACUCUCUGUUUUAUACAUUAUUUGAAAUGUAAGCCAAUGGAAUUAACUUCCGUUACAAUGUUACUCCAUGUCCCUCUCGGUAGAAUUAGAACUUGUGAUUGUUAUGUCUUUCAUAUGCUACAUAUGAGGAGGACAUGCUAAAUUAUAAGUAUGAUUAUCAACAAACGUCCAAAGUCCACCCAUUAAAGUGAUGUAUCGUACCUGCUGCCUGCGCUGCUCAGCCUCGGCCAGUCUGUCCUGCAGAUCCCUCAGUGAGGGUGGUGACACCUGCUGCUCCUCUAGUCGCUGCAGACGCUUGGGCGGGUGUUUCUUGAUCAAACUAUCUUCAUGUAACGGCACUUCAAACGCAAGUCCUUGAGCUGUGAGUUUAUAAAGAUUGAAUCUCAUAAAGUGCUUGUUCCACCGGGACUCGAACCCAGACCUCUCACUUUCCGGGUGAGUAUGCUACCACUACACACCUAAUGAGAUAUAUAUUCAAGGUAAACUUAAAUGUUUAAAAGAUGCAAACAAAUAAAUAAUGUUAUAAGUUA